GAUGAACGCUGGCGGCGUGCCUAAUACAUGCAAGUCGAGCGAACAGGUGAGGAGCUUGCUCCUCUGACGUUAGCGGCGGACGGGUGAGUAACACGUGGAUAACCUACCUAUAAGACUGGGAUAACUUCGGGAAACCGGAGCUAAUACCGGAUAAUAUAUUGAACCGCAUGGUUCAAUAGUGAAAGACGGUUUUGCUGUCACUUAUAGAUGGAUCCGCGCCGCAUUAGCUAGUUGGUAAGGUAACGGCUUACCAAGGCAACGAUGCGUAGCCGACCUGAGAGGGUGAUCGGCCACACUGGAACUGAGACACGGUCCAGACUCCUACGGGAGGCAGCAGUAGGGAAUCUUCCGCAAUGGGCGAAAGCCUGACGGAGCAACGCCGCGUGAGUGAUGAAGGUCUUCGGAUCGUAAAACUCUGUUAUUAGGGAAGAACAAAUGUGUAAGUAACUAUGCACGUCUUGACGGUACCUAAUCAGAAAGCCACGACUAACUACGUG
rnacentral:rRNA from 1 species